rnacentral:rRNA from 1 species
AGUGAACGCUGGCGGCGUGCCUAAUACAUGCAAGUCGAACGGAGUGGCGCACGGGUGAGUAAUGUAUAGCUAAUCUGCCCUACACUAGAGGACAACAGAUGGAAACGACUGCUAAUACUCUAUAGUGUAGGAUGAGGCUAUAUUGUAUCAGCUAGUUGGUGAGGUCAUGGCUCACCAAGGCUAUGACGCAGAACUUGUCUGAGAGGAUGAUCAGUGAAACUGUACCGGAGGCACGGUCGAGACUCCUACGGGAGGCAGUAGUAGGGAAUAUUGCUCAAUGGGGGAAGCCCUGAAGCAGCAACGCCGCGUGGAGGAUGAUACUUAUCGGAGCGUAAACUCCUUUUGUUAGGGAAGCGGUACCUAACGAAUAAGCACCGGCUAACUCCGUGCCAGCAGCCGCGGUAAUUC